rnacentral:lncRNA from 1 species
AUUAAGAAUAUCUAUAGUAACAAACAUCAACACAUUCAAAUUCAUAUCACACUAAAGUUAUAAAAACACAUAUUUGAUAAUUUAAACAUUAUACAUUCUACAGUUGUCCAUAAUAAGUAAAUAUGCAGAUGUGCUAAGUAUUUGCUUGGCGAUUUGUAUUGCUGUCACCUGAUCAUAUUCUCACAUCCACCGAAUAAAGUAGGCUCACUUUACACAUCACAUGCUGAAACAGAGAAUUUUGAUCAAAAACUUAUAAAGGAAUAAAAUUUUGCCAACAAGCUAAAAGGAAGAUCUGGGUAUAUAAAUAAACAAAAGAUCUGAUUCUUCUUACAAAUAAAUCUGUUACUUGAUCCAACAAUAGCAUUGAACAGAAGUUGUUAGAUACUCGCAUGAAUAAGAGCUAAAGUACAAAGCUAUUUCCUUGGAUAUCAUCACAACACUUACAUCCACAAACUAUUUACUUGAUAGUAUAAAUUCUUGCCAUAUAUUCACGAAAAUCAUAAUGUAACUAAUAAAUCAUAAGUUAACCACUAUAAGCUUUCUAACAUUUAGAAUCAAACAAAUAAAUUAUAAGCUGUAAUCUAUCCUAAUGAUUAACAUACUUGCAUCAAAACUGAAGGCUAAUAACACUAUGAAAUUGAAGCAGAAGAAAUGAACUGAAUAAAAUAGGAGUGGUCUGAUAGGAGUAGUUAGUUAAACAAACCAAGCAUGUUAAAAUCUGUUGGAUCCAACUUCAAACAAAAGAAACAACAAAUUAAAAGGCACAAAACUUUUUCUAAGGCAUGAAUUCCACUAGUAUCUGUAUUAUCAAUAAAAACUACAAGAGAAUAUAUAACAAAUUACUUUUAGUUACUUAAUGUAACCUAAGGAAAAGAUGUGAAAAGAUUUAGGAGAUGAGUUAACAAGCAUAACUUACCACUCAAUGCCAUCAUAACAACAUAUCAAUCUGUUAAACCAAAAUAUGCAUAGAUUAGCAUUCAAUCAAGUUGGCUUCAUCAAAGUUUUUGUCCCUAGAAUUACUCCACAGUAAGAGAUCCUUUUAUGGGAACACAUACGAAUGCAAGAUAUAAAAAAUAAGGUGAAUCAAAUGUGAAUAUCAUUUCUGAACAUAGCUUUAAACCAAAUAUGAAUAUCAUCUCUAAACAUACCUAUAAACGAAAUAAAUAAGCACUACUUAAAGAUGCAAUAUUGUUACCUUUAGAUAAAAUACCAUAUUAAAUAAAAAAUUUAUUCGAAUUUAUAUGCAUUUGUUGCUAAAUAAGUAGCAGUAUUUGCCUCGACUACAUCAUCAAUUAGAUGGUCUGUAACUAGUUAUAUCCCAACUAUUAGUAUGACUCAUUCUCAUAACCUUCAUCUUCCAUAACUUCUUCUGUAUCAUACAAAUCUCUUAGCUUUAGGUUUACUAAAAUUACUUCAUCCUUAAUUGAAAACAUCAUCUACAUAGUACACCAUAUUUAUGAUUGAAAUACUUCGAUGUAAGGCUCAUGUUCUUCACCCUCAAUCUCGAAUAAUUAUAUAGAAAGUUGGAGUUCAUUUUCUUUUUUCCAAAUAAAUAAAACAUCAGUAGCAUACAAAUAAUUACCUGCCUAAUGAUCUUUGUAUGCUAGAAUUAUUCAAAUUUGAAGGCAUAUAUAAAAUAUGCUCAAAAACUUAUGCGAGCCGUACAUAAACUAGUUUUUACAACAAAAUGAGUCAACUUACCUGAUAGCGGGUUUGAAGUUACACCAUGUCCAGUACUCUUAGAAACGUGCACAUCUGCAAUAAUGAUAUGAUGCAAGACAUAUUACUAGAGGAAGUUUUCAUUUGCAGUAAUUCAUUUUCUAAGGAAAGUGAAAAACUAAACUACUAAAGUAUGAGCUAGAGAAGGAAAAAUUUGUCACCAUAGCAAGUAAAUUUCAUUAAAGACCUUGUACUGUCUUGAUAUUCCUCAAUAUAGAAGUGAGAAAAACAUUAGGAAGUUCCCUGACUGAAUAAUCGACAGAAUAAAAUGCAUUUAUGCUCUCCCAUCAGCGCCGACUCUAACGUGAUGAGAGGUAAGGCAUGGGCCUUAGGCCCACAAAUU